AAGUCGUGACCGCUAAUAAGCAAAAACGAAAAAGUCAGAAUACGUGAUAUGAAACUAAUAAUUCGUAUUUAAUAAAAAAAAAAUAGUUUCUUCCAUCGCAUAAAAAAUGUAAGCAAUUAUGAAAUAAUCACCUUUUUGUUAGUGUAAAUGCAUGCCCGAGCAUGAAAAAUGAUAUUGCCGGCGCAGACAAAGAUGCCUGGUGAAAAUAUUUGUAUACAAGCAAAUUUGGAGAGAAAUGAAUUCCAUCUCUUGUUUCUGUGGAAAUAUUUUUUUCUUUUUCUACUCUAAAUAAAAUUAUAGGAAGACAUUUUAUAUGCGUCAACUGCAGCGAUUUUGCAGCAAGUGGUUAUCAUCACUAUUACUAAGAAGACAACAUAAAGCAUUAGAGCUCGACUCGUCCCGACUUUUUGCAACUUUUCAAAGUGAUAUGCGAACUACAUUUUGUGUAGCUAUGAAAUAUUCUAACGCAGAUGUUUCCACAAAGGAUUUAUUCUAAUAACUACAGCCUGACGUACACCUUUAUUGGUAAUUUUUCUAUGAAUCAAUAAAAUAUUGUGGAUAUGGUGUAACGGAACUUCUAUGAAAAUUAAUAUGGCUCUUUCCUCUUUGCGGAUUUUUUACAAUUGGGAAAUAUCAAGACGUC
rnacentral:sRNA from 1 species